rnacentral:rRNA from 1 species
UACGUAGGGUCCGAGCGUUGUCCGGAAUUAUUGGGCGUAAAGGGCUCGUAGGCGGUCUGUUGCGUCGGGAGUGAAAACUUACAGCUUAACUGUGAGCGUGCUUCCGAUACGGGCAGACUUGAGGUAUUCAGGGGAGAACGGAAUUCCUGGUGUAGCGGUGAAAUGCGCAGAUAUCAGGAGGAACACCCGUGGCGAAGGCGGCUCUCUGGGACGGUACUGACGCUGAGACGCGAAAGCGUGGGGAGCGAACAGG